rnacentral:rRNA from 1 species
UACGGGGGGGCGAAGCGUUGUUCGGAAUUACUGGGCGUAAAGCGCGCGUAGGCGGCUUUGCAAGUCGGGUGUGAAAUCCCCAGGCUUAACCUGGGAACUGCAUUCGAGACUGCAUUGCUAGAGUAUGGGAGAGGGAAGUGGAAUUUCCGGUGUAGCGGUGAAAUGCGUAGAUAUCGGAAGGAACAUCAGUGGCGAAAGCGACUUCCUGGACCAAUACUGACGCUCAUGUGCGAAAGCGUGGGGAGCAAACAGGG